rnacentral:snRNA from 1 species
UGACCCAAGGCCUAACUGAGAGA